CGCCCCCCGCUUGCGGAGCGCGGAGCUCGGGGCGGAGAGCGGUGCGGGGCUCGGAGCGCGGAGCGGUCGCUCCCGGUGCGGGCCCGCCAUGGCGUGGCCCUGCAUCACCCGUGCCUGCUGCAUAGCCCGCUUCUGGAACCAGCUGGAUAAGGCGGACAUUGCCGUCCCCCUCGUUUUCACCAAAUACUCGGAGGCCACCGAGCAUCCCGCCGCGCCCCCGCCGCGCCCCGCGGCCCCCAUCGAGACCCAGCCCGGCGGCGAGGCGGCUGCGGGGGCCGGAGGCAGCGAGCCGACUCCCGGUCCCGCCCGGCCCGGCCCGGCCCCGCACGCCUCUCCUCCGGCCGACUCGGUCAUGCGGCACGACUACAAGCCUUGGAAGGUGCAGCGGCCGGAGCCGAGCUGCAAACCCAAGAGCGAGUACCAGCCCUCGGACACUCCCUUCGAGAAGGAGACGCAGUACCAGAAGGAUUUCCGUGCCUGGCCCAUCCCCAAGCGGGGCGACCAUCCCUGGAUCCCCAAAGCGGGACCUUCCCCCGUCCUGGCCCUGGACCGCGCUCCCCCGGAGAAACCGGCUCAGGAGAAGCGGCGGAAGGUGCACCUCGCUCCCGAGAAGAAGGAGGAACACGCCGAGGUGGAGGAUGAGCAUCCCAAAGCAGUGCGGCCCGGGGAUGGGAGAGAGAAGGGUCGGAAGAGGCCGGAAGAGGCGGGCGGGCAGCCGGCGGAGCCCAGCAGAGGCCGGGCGGCUGCCGAUGCUGUCAACAGGCAGAUCAAAGAGGAGGUGGCGGCGGGGGUCAGCUCGUCCUACAGAAAUGAGUUCAGACCCUGGAUAGAUGUCAAGCCUGUGAAAGCGAUAAAAGCAAAGCCCCAGUACAAGCCACCAGAGGAGAAAAUGACCCAUGAAACCAGUUACAGUGCUCAGUUCAAGGGGGAAACCAGUAAGCCUUCUCCAGCUGAUAACAAAUACCUGGAACGCAGAAGAAUACGCACUCUCUACAGUGAACCCUACAAAGAACCUCCAAAGGUGGAAAAGCCUAGCAUAAAGCCUUCCAAACCAAAAAAGACCACAACAAGCCAUAAACCCCUGAAAAAGGCCAAAGACAAGCAGAUUGCAUCUGGCCGGGCUGCCAAGAAAAAGAGCGCCGAGACCUCCAACACCGCAAAGCCAGAGGAUAAGGAGAAAAGUAAAGAGAUGAACAAUAAACUGGCUGAGGCAAAAGAGAUUUAUUUAGAGAUGUGCCAGUGCAGGAGAGAAAGAGACUUUUUAAGAAGAUGCUUCUGACAUGGCUUGUACCUCUCAACAUCCAAAGAAUAACAACCAUCCCCAACAGUGACAUCAGAUCAAGAAGAGAAGACAAACAGAAAGGAGAAAUUCCUUAGUAUAAACAUGAUGAUAUGGAUGUGCUCAGCUCUAAGAACAAUGUCUUUUCCAAAUUUGGAAAAUAUUGUGAUGUUCAGACAUAGGCUUCUGCUCUGCCUUGUUCCAGCAGCAUCAUGGGUGCCUGGGGAACAACUGCCUUAUCCUGGCUGUCAUGACAAGGACAUGUGAGGCAAGAAUAAAAGAAUCCUACUAGUGCAUUGAAGGCAUCUUUAUGCUUUCGAAAAUGCCAGCUUGCCCUUCAGGCAGUCUACUCCAUGGAAGCCAACGACAAGGACCAGUCACCAAAAAAAUGAUGGAUGGUAGUGGCAGAUCUUAGUGAUAUGUGAGAGCCCUGACUGCUUUCAAUGUGUUCAGUGGUGUGAGAAAUGGGAAAGGGAAAGCAUUUCUGAACCCUCCUUGUUGUCCUCUGCCUACCCCAACCUAGCCUGUGGCAUAUGCAACAACCCCAAGGCCCAAAGAAAGCUGGAUGUUCACAUAUCUUCUUGGAGAAUCCAGUGUGUCCUCUCUAGCUCUGAAAGAGGUCUGGAGAACUGGGUCUCAGCAAAGAGUGAGGAGCACCCUGCAUGGCACAGGUGGAGGGAAGCUCACCAUAUGAUGGGUGGAAGGUGGGUCUGUUCUUGUCAGUUAACAACACCCGUAAGCACUUCAUGGUUCCAGUACCAGAUGGUGGAGGUAGGGAGAUCCUGAGAGCAGACCCUGCCCAUUGGACUGACCUGCUCCUCAGGAUUUAGUACCCAACUGAAGACAAGUUCAGCUGCAGCCGCCUUGUUUGGACCCAAGAGAUUUUCCCUGAGAAGCUGUGGCUGCCCCAUCCCUGAAGUGUUCAAAGCAAGAUUGUACUGGAGUUGGGAAAACCUGGUCUAGUGGAAGGUCUCCUUGUCCAUAGCAGAGGGGUUGGAACAAGAGGAUCUUGAAGAUCCUUCCCACCCAAAUAAUUCUGUGAUCCUGUGAUUUAUCAGCAGGGACACAACCCCUCAGUAUACCCUGAAUUUAAUGAAACAGAUAAUGCUUUGGAGCUGCACAAAGGACAGUGAAUGUCUUUGCCCUCCUUGCCCUUGCUCUCUCCCCUCUCCCCAAGGUUCACUGCUGAUCAGAGAUCUCUCCCUGUUGGCUCCUGCCCUUCCAAUGCCCUCACCUCCCCAUCUGACCCCAUUUGCCUGCCACAACACCAUUUCUUCUUGCCUUCAGAAUAAUUUCCCCUCCAUCCUCUCUGCCAGCUUUUCUGUGUCCAUCCCACAGCUGCUUCUUCAGUCUUUGCUUUCUCCCACCCCUCCCCCUCCAACACCUUUCCCCUCCACAUCACCCCAGAUACCCAGCUCCAAUAAGGACCUUCUCCUUCCCAUCCUCUCUCAGUUACUGUCUCAUGUCCUGUCUCUCUUAAAUUGGAAGCCUUUUUCUUUGCCUGUACUGUGUGAUAUCACUCACUGCUUGAAUAAAUGAUACCUCACCUACCAACUGCCCCUUCUAUCUCUUUUCUUGGUGUGACUUCAUUAGAUGUGUCUGCAAGUGUGUCUGUCCUGGUGGCCAGUCUUGCUUCUGCAGAUCUGUCUGUCUUUUAGGAUGACACUGCUUAUGCUUUUGUCCUCUUGUACCUUUGUUUCCUUUUUUUUACAGCCACGGGGACAAGCUUUGUUAUCAGUGUAGGAGCCUGGCACAUUCAGAGCUGCAGGAUCUUCUGUCCCUUGCUAUUCUGGUGCAUCUGAUAAAGAGGUUGGCCUUUCUCCAGCUUCUUGCAGAGAUGUCCUGUGCUGCCAGGUGGCUCAACAAAUGCAGCUGCUGAGGAAAGUGAAGGAGAAAUCUUGUAGCCCAAAGCAGAAGCAGCUGAUGGUAAAGGAAUGACGUUCCACUCUAAGAGGAAGCAGUUGGCAGAGAUACUUCAGUGGAAAUACAAGCAGAUAUAUGUCUCAGGGGAAUCAGCAAAAGAUGGCUUAGCAUGUUUCAGAGAUGGAUGCCCAGGAGGCAUCUUGUGGCUCAGAAGGUGCCCUGGAUAUCUGCUUCCUUUAUCCCAGGCAAGAUGAAGGACCACCACCUGCCUGUGGUUCCUUCUACCUGUGAGUACAUCAAGGACCCAGUUGUGACCCAGUCUCAGAUAGCUCCUUGCUACCUCCUUGUCCUAAUUUAUUGCCUCAAAGUGCUAGUUUGGUUGGUGCUGGCUGGAGCUGUUGAUGCACAUGAAGAUAGUACUUCUUCCCAAGUGCUCCUUAUAAACAUGGAAAGUUACAGGAGCAGCUUGGUUCCUCUACCCUUACAGUGACCCUCCCUGCCUGUGGUGUGACACCAGCCUGCCAGAAAGCAAAGGAGACUGGUCAUGCUGAAUGAGCUCAGAGCGUGGUCAUCAGCCUGAUUUCAUGGGCCAUCUGCAGGAAUUAGGUCUGAGGACUUAACGAGAGGCAAAACUGAAGUGGUUUGGUGGACAUGUAUGGGAGAGGGAUCAAGUCCCCUGGGCCUCCCUCAGUGCAAGAGCAGACAGAAGAGAUUAAAUGUGUGGAGAGCUCAGAUAUUCAGUGAUGAGCCUGGAAAUGCCAUCUAGAACAAGCAAGACUUGCAGCUGGGUUGUGCCUGACAUCUCCAGGCUGCAGGAAUUUUGGUGUAGGUGCUGGAAGGAGGCAUUGGGAAAGAGGAUCAAUCACUUGAUGUAGGUGUGUCCUGGUUUAGGGCAAAUUUGGGAGAACAACACAGUCCAGGAGCAGCAUGCAGGGGGAGCAAGUGCUAUUUUUGAACACAAACUGUACAUUUCUUCUUCCCCACUCUUCACUCUCAGAACCAGUCUUACAGGUGCAGAACUUUGUAUGUAACAUAAACAAGGCGACUGGGCAUACAAGCAUAAAGUCACCCCAGGACAAGGUGAUAUCCUCCAUCUUUUCCUAUGUGCCACCAUGACUUACUUCCACCUGCCUUGCUUCCACAGUGCUGCUGCCUCCUCCUCCAAGCUGUAGAUUUCACCAGCAAAAAAGCACUGAAAAAAAAUCUCAGCUGCAGUUUUAGGGGCUGAGUAGUGUUUAGAACAUGAUACCUCCAUGCUGCUCAGGUCCUCAUCUGACUUGGAGGUAUGCAGAAGUCUUCUAGCAUCUAGAUUUCUGCUAUCAGAGCUCUGUAAGAGCUGGUUUGGUUUGAACUCCAAAGGGCUGAAUUCCUUGUUGCUCAUCCCACACCUACAUCAGGCCAGAUUUAACAACCUGACACUUUCUUCUUCUCACCUUGCUGGACCCAAACAAGUGCACAUCUCCAGGUCUCAUACCUUUGCAAGGACAGCAACCCCUCUGCUUGCUGAGGUAUACAGUAAGGCUGAAAUUCUGUACUUCCCUGAUGUGAUUCACAGUGAUACCUCUACUGCUUGAUGUGCCUUUUCCAAAGAAUGCACCUGAGACCAAUUAUAAACUAGCAUGUCAAGACCAUUUUUCAGGACAAAAAAGGCUUGUAAUUUUGUUGCUGUUUUGUAAAGACAACAAGUUUCAGUGCACAAAGGGCAACACAGCAUUUGGAAGACAGAAGUGACUUGUCAUAACCUACUACAAUCUAACUGGGAAUUGCAUUUGCCCAGAAAUCAAUGGCUUUCUGUCUUCUGAGGAAUAUGAACCUGCCAAUGUCCUCCUGGAUAAGGGCACUAACCAAAAGGUGGUUCCUCCACAGACAAGAGCUGUCUCCUUGCCUGAAUUCUCUGGGAAAGAAAGGACAGAUUUCUCAUGGCUUUUUUUCUUUAAAAUGUUCCUUCAGCACCCAAGUUCUGUGCCUGAGGCUGUUUCUGAGCUACUGGUACGAGGAUUCCUGCUGCUCCUAGUUCUCUUAAAGACAACUUUUAAUUUUCUCUGUGCCUUUACAGACUCGUAACAGCUCCCAAAUAGCUAAACUGCUUUAAAUUAAAGUAAUUUUGCAGAAGACAAGUUAUCGGAUCAUUUUGAUAUGAGGCCACCAAAACUUGAAGAUGUGAAUUCAUAGAGGAACAGGGAUGAGAUGUGAGCAGGUCCUCCACAUCUCUGAGGAACAGGAUAAUACUGCUGGAGCUGUCAGAGGCAAGUUUAGACCCAAGUCACAAAAUCCCAGCUCCAUGUGGUUAUACCAGGACCAACAAAGAGGAGAUGAUGCUAUGUGUGCUCAUGGGGCACAUGAACACCCCUGAUUAUUUCCAGACACCUUGUGCUGCCUCUGGGAAAUGAACCCCUGCUGAAUUUCAUACUCUUUUUCUGCACCUCUCUCAGACAUAACAGGAGGAGAAAUCUGUCACCUCCAAUUCAUCUCUUCUACAUUUCUCACCUUCUCACAAAACUAACCCGACAAUUUGCCAUCAGCAGCCCUCAUGAGGGCAAAGAUCUCAAAACUUUCCUCGCUUGGCUUAAAUAAAGAUCAUUCAUAAAAGUUAUUGCAUGUGUAUUGGGGCUUGUUAUGUUUCAGGAUCAGGCUUUCCUUUCAACUUUCCAAUUUGCACACUGCCAGCUCACUCUUCCCAAGGCUGGUAUACCUAGGACUAGACCUCACUGUGCAGCCCUGAAGAGAACAGCCACAGUUAUUCUCAGCUGGGCAAGCUCAUGCAACUCCAGGGGAAAAUAUUGUAAUUACCUACCGCUCACACUCCUUCCAUUUUAAAACAGGUUUGGAUGGAGAAUCACCCAAUUGUCUAUAUUCAUGCAAACAAAGAGGAAGCCAAGGGAUGAGAUGUGACAUAGUCUCUUUCUCUCCUUAGGCCUGAAAUCCAUGGCUGAAGAAUGCACACAGUCAUGGGAAAAGAGACAGCAGAUUAAAAGGAAGAACAUACAUUGCACGCUUUUUGACUGUCUCAACAGGUACCAUCAUUUGGGACCAUCCCAGUUGAACCUGGAUCAUCAUGUACACACUGGCACCUGAGAUCAUACCCCAUAGUUCCUGCAUCCUCCCUCACUAAAUGAGGUGUGACAAUGUGCUCGGUAUCUGGAGUAGUUGCUGAUGGCCUUCAAACUGCAAGUGCAGGUGCCCUUGGGCACCACUUCCACCGGCAAGGAUGUGCAGGCAUCUCCAGCCUCCUCCAGUGACCAGGCAAUGGGUCCCAUCCUAGCAGAUAACUGCAUCAGCAGUAUGGACCUGGUCUACCCUGACAGUGGGGCAUCUUUCCAAAGAGAAGCUGCUCUGCUUUUUCUCCCUAAUCCUUUGAUGUACAGUGCUGGGCUCACCUCAUUCCCAUAGGAACUACUGGGCUGAAAGAACUCAUCAGAUUUCCUACCAACCUCUGCCAACAGCUUCUGGCAGCAAAUGUCUCUUUGUAGUAAGCAAAAAGAGCAAGUUGAGGGACCCAUGAAAAAAACACUGGUGCUACCGACCAAGAACCUUAGUGCAGGAUGAACUCACGUGAAGUCAGAACUUCGGUCUGAGCAGCGGCUGAAGCAAAUGUAUAGUUCGCAUGAAAUGUGUAUUGUCUGGCUGGCAUAAAAUAAAGCUGAUGAUGAGAGCUGAAUGACAACUUCUAUUGUCUCUCAAGCACUUUGAAGUUAUUGUGUGAUGCAGUUAGCAUGUCUGUGCCUUGAUUUAUGUAUAGUAAAGUUACAGAAAAGAAU